rnacentral:sRNA from 1 species
AUUCUGCCCAUGCGGGGAAGGAUGAGAAGCUUCGACCAAGGUUCGACUCGAGCGCCAGCGAGAGAGCGUUGCCGCAGGCAACGACCCGUAGGG